rnacentral:rRNA from 1 species
CUGUGCAAAGGUAGCAUAAUCAUUAGCUUUUUAAUUGAAGGCUUGUAUGAAGGGUCUGACAAAGAAAAAGCUGUCUUUAAUUUUAUUUUUGAAAUUAACUUUUAAGUGAAAAGGCUUAAAUAAUUUUAAGGGACGAUAAGACCCUAUAAAUCUUUAUAUUAAAUUUUAGCUUAAAUAUUAAUUAGUUUGUUUAUAUUUUUUUUUUAAAGUUAAAAUAAAUAUUUUGUUGGGGUGACAAGAAUAUAAUAAUUAACUGUUCUUUUAUAAAACAAAGUUGUUUGUAAAAUAAAAUAAAGAUCCUUUAUUAAAGAUUAAAAGUUUAAGUUACUUUAGGGAUAACAGCGUUAUUUUUUUUGAGAGUUCAUAUCGAAAAAAAAGUUUGCGACCUCGAUGUUGAAUUAAAAUUUCUCUAUGGUGUAGAAGUUAUAGAAGAGAGUCUGUUCGACUUUUGAAAUUUU